rnacentral:rRNA from 1 species
CAGCACCUCAAGUGGUCAGGAUGAUUAUUGGGCCUAAAGCAUCCGUAGCCUGCUUUGUAAGUUUUCGGUUAAAUCUGUACGCUUAACGUACAGGCUGCCGGGAAUACUGCAGAGCUAGGGAGUGGGAGAGGUAGACGGUACUCGGUAGGAAGGGGUAAAAUCCUUUGAUCUAUUGAUGACCACCUGUGGCGAAGGCGGUCUACCAGAACACGUCCGACGGUGAGGGAUGAAAGCUGGGGGAGCAAACCGGAUUAGAUACCCGAGUAGUCC